rnacentral:tRNA from 1 species
GGGCCCGUAGCUCAGUUGGUAGAGCACUUGGCUUUUAACCAAGGUGUCGCGCGUUCGAAUCGCGUCGGGCCCA